GAUGAACGCUAGCUACAGGCUUAACACAUGCAAGUCGCGGGGCAGCAUGGGGGUUGCUUGCAAUCCCCGAUGGCGACCGGCGCACGGGUGAGUAACGCGUAUCCAACCUGCCCUUCACCACGGGAUAACCCGGCGAAAGUCGGACUAAUACCGUAUGUUGUCCAUUGACGGCAUCCGAUUUGGACGAAAGGUUUGGCGGUGAAGGAUGGGGAUGCGUCCGAUUAGCUGGACGGCGGGGUGACGGCCCACCGUGGCGACGAUCGGUAGGGGUUCUGAGAGGAAGGUCCCCCACACUGGAACUGAGACACGGUCCAGACUCCUACGGGAGGCAGCAGUGAGGAAGAUUGGCCAAUGGGCGUAAGCCUGAACCAGCCAAGUAGCGUGCAGGAGGACGGCCCUAUGGGUUGUAAACUGCUUUUAUGCGGGGAUAAAGUGGCCCACGUGUGGGUUUUUGCAGGUACCGCAUGAAUAAGGACCGGCUAAUUCCGUG
rnacentral:rRNA from 1 species